CGGCGAACGGGUGAGGAACACGUGAAGAAUCUGCCCUCCACUUUGGGAUAACACCGGGAAACCGGUGCUAAUACCGAAUAUUGAAACAUAAGUGGCAUCACUGAGUUUUGAAAGAAUUUCGGUGGAGGAUGACUUCGCGGCCUAUCAGCUAGUUGGUGAGGUAAUGGCUCACCAAGGCAACGACGGGUAGCCGGCCUGAGAGGGCGACCGGCCACACUGGGACUGAGACACGGCCCAGACUCCUACGGGAGGCAGCAGUGGGGAAUAUUGGGCAAUGGAGGAAACUCUGACCCAGCGACGCCGCGUGCGGGAUGAAGGCCUUCGGGUUGUAAACCGCUUUCAGUAGGGAAGAAGCGAAAGUGACGGUACCUACAAAAGAAGCACCGGCUAACUAUGUGCCAGCAGCCGCGGUAAUACAUAGGGUGCAAGCGUUGUCCGGAAUUAUUGGGCGUAAAGAGCUCGUAGGUCGUUUGUUACGUCGGAUGUGAAAACCUGAGGCUCAACCUCAGGCCAGCAUUCGAUACGGGCAAACUAGAGUUUGGUAGGGGAGACUGGAAUUCCUGGUGUAGCGGUGGAAUGCGCAGAUAUCAGGAGGAACACCAAUGGCGAAGGCAGGUCUCUGGGCCAAUACUGACACUGAGGAGCGAAAGUCUGGGGAGCGAACAGGAUUAGAUACCCUGGUAGUCCAGACCGUAAACGGUGGGCACUAGUUGUGGGAACCUUCCACGGUUUCUGCGACGCAGCUAACGCAUUAAGUGCCCCGCCUGGGG
rnacentral:rRNA from 1 species